CUCCAAGUCUCUCUCACCCGUUUGAUCUGAAGUGCGCGUCCGUCCUGUCGUUCUUGCCGCAGCACAGUACGGCCUGCACCCCCGUUAUAACUCACAAACCAUUCUGUGCUGCUACAGUACCGGCAGGCCCCGCGCAGAACGCGCGCACAGGCACACACGCGAGGCGCGCUCACACGGCCGCACAUAAACCUGACAACACACAAGAUAAAGAAAGAACGUCAGUAUGCUUUGAUGGUGUAGUUCAACGAUGCCACAAUGACACGGAGAAUAAAAACAAACGUAUCAGUGCUUGCUUGGUAGAUAUACAUUGUAAAUAAAAUAUCAUGGUGUUAUUCUGAUUUAAAUGCGAUACAUUCUCUAUGUAUGUUGUAUCUUCUGCAUAUUGCAAGUGGAAUAGUGCAGUUCUCUUUUAAUUUGUAUGAAAUAGAUUAUUUGGCACACAUUUUUAUAGAGAUGCUUGCUUUUUGUUAAGACCUGAAAAGCUGACCCUCUCUAAAAAGGUAUAAUUUUCAACGAUGUUUGAUGUGUUUCUUGUUUGUAAUGUUCAAAUUAUCUAGCCUUUCAAGAUAUACCUUUUUAAAAAAUACAAAAUGUUAUAUUUCUGUUUCACACACUUAUUAGCCAAUCAUAUGUUUAAAUGAUUUAAACUUUUUUUUCUUAACAGCACUUCCCUUUUCUAAAGUGAUGGGAGGCUUUUUGUUAUAAUGUCUACAUGCAUAGUUCUAAGCCAUAGUGAUAACAACUUAACUGUUCUGAGUUAUAGGUGAGAAACAAAUGAUAUUUACACCAUUCUUGCAAAACCCGCGUACUUCGUUCUGAUUAAUUCCUCCUUGCUAGGUGAGCCAUUAAACUUUUGGUGUAACACAAGCAAGAGGACAGGGGAGCAUCUCCUGUCUAAAAGUGUAAAAUUACAGGUUGUGAAAAGGACUUCUGGGAAAAAAGUGUUCUCUGACAAAGGCUGCAAACCACCCAUAUUAUAAUAUUUACUUAUGCCAUUUGCUGUCUGUCUCUUUCAUUUUUGUGUUUUCACUUUAUUGAAUAUUUUACAAGGAUAUAGAGAAUGUUGUGUUCGUUUUUUUAAACAUUAAUAUUUUCUUUUAUGGAUUUCAGAAAAGCAAGUUGAAUUGAAUUGAUUUACUCACAGAAGCUUGUCACUAAUGCUAUGGGCACAACAAGGUCCAUCUCCUGAGAUAAAAGAAAAUACAUUUAUAAAGCAAAUUUUAGCUAUUAGGUUGUUCAAUGUAUGAUAACAGGUAUACUUACAGUCCACUCUCUAUAUAGCAUUCUGUGUAUUUUUACUAGACAGGUGUGAUUCUAUUGUGGGUUUUUUUUCUUUAUUUUUAAGUAAAUGUAGUAUAUUAUGGUUUGAAGGUAAAUUCUUGUUCUUAUUUCAAAGUUUGUGGCUAAAUGUGUGUUUGUGAGUGUGUAAAAAAAAAUUUGUGGCAAUUAAAUAAAUAUAUUCUUAAAAGACA